rnacentral:rRNA from 1 species
UACGGAGGGUGCGAGCGUUUUUCGGAAUCACUGGGCGUAAAGCGCGUGUAGGCGGCCUCCUCAGUCUGGUGUGAAAGCCCGGGGCUCACCCCCGGAAGUGCAUUGGAUACUGGGAGGCUGGAGUACCGGAGAGGAGGGUGGAAUUCCUGGUGUAGCGGUGAAAUGCGUAGAUAUCAGGAGGAACACCGGUGGCGAAGGCGGCCCUCUGGACGGAUACUGACGCUGAGACGCGAAAGCGUGGGGAGCAAACAGG